rnacentral:rRNA from 1 species
UACGGAGGGGGCUAGCGUUGUUCGGAAUUACUGGGCGUAAAGGGCGCGUAGGCGGCCACCGCAAGUCGACUGUGAAAUCUCCGGGCUUAACCCGGAAAGGUCAGCCGAUACUGCGAGGCUAGAGUGCAGAAGGGGCAACUGGAAUUCUCGGUGUAGCGGUGAAAUGCGUAGAUAUCGAGAGGAACACCUGCGGCGAAGGCGGGUUGCUGGGCUGACACUGACGCUGAGGCGCGAAAGCUAGGGGAGCGAACGGG